UGAAGGGGUCACGCAGAACAGC
rnacentral:misc_RNA from 1 species